CGCGUAGGCGGAUAUUUAAGUCGGAUGUGAAAUCCCUGGGCUUAACCUAGGAAUUGCAUUCGAUACUAUUUAUCUAGAGUAUGGUAGAGGAAAGUGGAAUUCUCGGUGUAGUGGUAAAAUACGUAGAUAUCGAGAAGAACACCAGUGGCGAAGGCGACUUUCUGGACCAAUACUGACGCUGAGGCGCGAAAGCGUGGGGAGCAAACAGGAUUAGAUACCCUGGUAGUCCACGCUGUAAACGAUGAGUGCUAGAUGUUGAUUGACUUCGGUCGAGCAGUAUCGCAGCUAACGCGUUAAGCACUCCGCCUGGGGAGUACGGUCGCAAGAUUAAA
rnacentral:rRNA from 1 species